rnacentral:misc_RNA from 1 species
ACACAUAAACACAAACGCAACAACACACAACACAAACGACAACAGUUGUGUUUUCAAUUUUCCAGCCGUGAGAUUAUAAGAUUUGAGGUUGUUCAUUCUCAUUUUUGUUUGAACUUUGAAGUGCAUUGCUGGCAAGUGUGAUAAAUUUUGAAAGUUCCUUCGCGUGUUUUGAAAUUUCUGGCUUACACUUUUUUUAAAUUCUACAAUCCAUUGUGUUGUGGCUAUAGGCCUAGUUACAAAAAUACAACGUGCUAACGGUUGUGUACGCACUUCAACUUUUCAUGAAGAUUUAUCUUGAAAAAAGCUGUGUUUUUAUUUUAAACAAAAAUGGAAGAUGAUUCAACCAUGCCUUUAUUUGCAAAUCACUUAGUAUCGGAAGAAAAUACUGUUAUCGAUGAUAGGUCUCGCAAGAAAAGUUCAACAUUAAUUAAUCCCGACAAGUUGAAUAGUAAAGAAGGGUUAUUCAAUGUUCGUGCGUUAUUCUUUUUAGUAUUAUGGUAUUUUUUUAGUGGUUGUACUCUAUUCUUGAAUAAAUAUAUUUUAUCAUAUCUCGAAGCGGAUCCUACAGUUUUAGGUACAUUUCAAAUGUUGAUGACAACCAUAUGUGGCUUUAUUCAAAUGUAUUUUCCUUGUGGAAUGUACAAGCCUACACAGAGGCACUCGAGACCUCCGGGUUUCUACAAGCACAUGACAUUCGUAGGUUGUACCAGGUUCACUACGGUUAUCCUCGGCUUGGUAUCUUUAAAUUAUGUAGCUGUGAGCUUCACAGAAACUAUUAAAAGCUCAGCGCCUCUGUUUACCGUUGUCAUAUCAAGGUUUCUACUUGGUGAACAUACGGGGUUAUAUGUUAAUUUAUCGCUGAUUCCUGUGAUGGGAGGCUUAGCAUUAUGCUCAGCUAAUGAGCUUAGCUUCAAUCUGAAGGGGUUCAUCGCUGCUCUUGCUACAAAUGUGACAGAAUGCCUCCAGAAUGUAUAUUCAAAAAUGCUUAUUAGUGGAGAUAGAUUCAAAUUCACACCUGCUGAGCUACAGUUCUAUACGAGUAUGGCAUCAGUUGUUGUUCAAAUUCCAGCAUCUUUAUUCUUCGUAGACAUUCCGCAAACAGUGAACAUGAUGACCAUGGAUCAGUUUUUAGCCUGCAUCAUGAAUGGAAUAUUUUUCCACUUCCAAAGCAUUACUGCUUAUGUUUUGAUGGAUUAUAUUAGUCCUGUUACUCAUAGUGUGGCGAAUACAGCGAAGAGAGCAUUCCUGAUUUGGCUGUCGGUGGUGCUGUUCGACAACCCUGUGACGGUGCUGAGUGGGCUGGGCACCUGCACUGUCAUCCUCGGAGUCAUGCUCUACACCAAGGCGCAGCAGAUCGAUGCCAAACUGCUAGUCACAGCAGCAGCUGCCACCAGCCCCAAGACCUCUAAGAAGAGAGUUCGAUCCUUAUGAAGACAACUGAUUGGUGACUUAUUUGUGAUACUUGUGAAUAACUGUUCAUCUAAGCUAAGUGAUUAACUUUUGUAAAAGAAGCCAAUGGUUUACUGUAUCAUAUGCAGCCGAUAGAUCCACAUAUGCAACACAUGAGCAAAAUGCAAAUGCUCCCCAAACAGGAAGUAACAGGAUGGAGAUGGCGAGAAACAGACAGAGAUGGAGAAACCUGGGGGAGGCCUAUGCCCGCUAGUGGACCUAGUUUCCAGUUAAUAAAAUUGAAGUGAUAUAAAUAUGUAAAUAUAACAAGAAGAUUAACUACAGUACUGUAUCAUAUGAACUUUGAUAUUACUUGAAGAAGUAUCCUUAAAUUGUACAUUUAUUUUUAUGUAAAGUGAUUCUGGAGACUGAAUAAAGGCUUUAU